rnacentral:lncRNA from 1 species
UUUCCUUGAGCGUUUUGCUUUCUUCUUCUCCUUAAUUGCUUUCUGAUCUGAUGAUCCCUCUUGAACUUCCUUUGCCAAACUGUCAAUAUCCUUUGCAGAAGAAAUGGACGUCUUACUCUUCAUAAUAGAUUCAUCCAAAGGUACAUUUUCAUCUGAAUCUUCUGAGUGAUUAGGAAUAUCCAUGGCCUCUAUUGCUUCAUGGUGAGCUGAAACUAGAGUUUUAAAAUCCGUUCCUGCUAGGAAAAGAUCAUCAUAUUUUCCUGCCUGUAUGAUAUGACCUUCUUUAAGAACCUUCAAAAUUGAAAAAAUAACGUGAGAAAGAGAACUAAAAGAGAAUUCUUGAAAGAAUAAAAUAUCUUUAUAGGCAAAGAUAAAUUACACAACUUGACAAAUAAAGGGAGACUAGGGACCAAUGAUAUACCAGACAAGAAAAGGAAAAGUUUUUUAAAGUAGUGGCAAAACAUUCAACUACCAUAAUGACCAAUACAUUGGAGUAACUCAGUAGGAAGCUGCCAUAAAACAGAACAAUAUCAUGGGAGGGAGCCAAGAGUUCCAUUAUCAAAUAAGCAGCUUUACUAGAUUGUGUGCACAGAUAAAUUUCAUAUAGAUGCAAAACUAAUAACUUUCCUCUCUCCUUGAUGUUACAGCUUGUCGACAUCUCAUGUCAAUCUAUAAUAUUAUCACGUUAAAAAUAUUGCAUAUUCAAUCUUAAAACUGACUGCUUUGUUGUUUUACAUAUGUUUCCUUGACAUGUCUGAAGUAGUAAAGAUUUGGCAGUAUAUACUUGUGAAGUUCUGUUUUUUUACGUAUUGAAAAUAGUAAAGGAAAUCAAGAACCAUACUUCAAAAGAGUGAAGGUGUUAUGAAAGACCAGAUUCAAUAUAAAAAGAAAAAAUUAAGAACCCAACCAGGAUAUGGGGAGAGAGAAAAAAUGCAUGAAAGUGAAACAGUAGAGAGCAAUUCCAACCCCUGAUCAUGCAGGGAAUACAUAACGUUGAAAGGCAAAAAUACAAAAACACCUGAAAUGAAAUAUAAACAUCAUCCAGGUCUUUUAUUGCAUAAAUGUGUAAGACAAAAUAAGGCCAUACCAGUAUCAUAUCAGCAGAAGGAAGAAAUUCAACUUGAUGGGUCACAAAGAUGACUGUCUUAUCUGCUAACGCUGUCAAUACAUACUCCUGCAGUUACAUGACAUGCAAAUUAAGCCAAACCAAAUACAUUUAAACUGUAUACCCAAAAAAUCAUUUAAACAGCAUCAUUAACUCCAAGCUUAAGAAAGCUAACCCUAAAUAAUUCCGAUCCAGUGUGGGCAUCAACUGCACUGAAGGGAUCAUCAAGGAGGUAAAUUUCAGCAUCUUGGUAGAGUGCUCGUGCAAGCUGAACCCGCUGCUUCUGGCCACCGCUCA